UUCUCCCGAAGUAUAAAGUCGUCUUUCUGCUUCGAGAAGCAUCGGUUCCUCGUUCUCCUCCGUCCAUGCGUCGACCGCUAGGGUAAGAAGCCUCCGUCUCUCUGCUCGUGGUGGUGGAUUUCCAUUUUGAGCUUUCAUCCGUGACUUUCAGGAAAGGUAUUUAGAACGAUCACUUUGUGCUGAAUAUAACUAAUGGAGACUUAUAAGCAAGAUUCUGAGGUUCAUCAGUGGGAACUUGAUCUUUUCGACACCCACAUAGUUCCAAAUUCUCUGCGUCCUGGAGUCUCCAGUGAGCAAAACUUCAGCUAUUAUGAGGACAUUUUUAUUAGAGAAGAUGAAGAACCUACGCAAGUGUCUAUUUUCACAGAAAAUUUAUUUCGCCCAUACACCAGAGACUAUACUCUAGGGAUUGAGGAUGAAGAAGAAGUUGCACAACAUAAUGCAUCCUCUAGUUCAUGUUCUAGUCCUGGAACCAACUAUCAUGGUUUGGAGUGUUCAGUAGAAGUGUCAAAUGAAUUUUCCACGAUAGAUGGUGAAAUUGACAGGAGGUUUGAUCAAAUGGUUCCUAUCCCUCAUGUUCCUAGGAUCAAUGGAGAAAUUCCUUCUGUUGAUGAAGCCAGUUUUGAUCAUCAGCGGCUUAUAGAUCGGUUGCAACUGUAUGGCUUAGUUGAACGUAAGGUUGAAGGAGAUGGUAACUGUCAGUUCCGAGCACUUUCUGACCAGUUAUAUGGAACACCUGAACGUCAUAAGCUUGUGAGGCAUAGAAUUGUUGAUCAGCUCAGGUCUCACCCUGAGUUCUACAAGGAAUAUGUCCCAAUGGCAUACAGUGACUACCUGAAAAAGAUUUCCAAGAGUGGCGAGUGGGGCGAUCACGUGACAUUACAGGCUGCAACAGAUAAGUUUGGUUGCAAAAUUUUUGUCAUUACAUCAUUCAAGGAUACUUGCUAUAUUGAGAUUUUGCCAAGAGAUCAGAAGCCUAAUCGAGGUAUAUUUUUUUGGUAAUGUUUGAUUUUGUCCACCUUAUUAUAGUUAGACCUUCCAACAUCACAACCAAAUUAUAGCAGACUGAGGUUUGAAUUCGGCAGUAUGAUUCUGUAGUCCUUUUCUUAAGCUUUUGGGCUGAGGUGCAUUACAACUCAAUUCAUCCAGAGGGUGAUCUCUGUACCGGCGACGGGAAGAAGAAGAAGAAAUGGUGGAAGUUUGGAAACAAACAUUGAAUCAAAGUGGCAAUAUUUUUG